rnacentral:rRNA from 1 species
GAUGAACGCUGGCGGCGUGCCUAAUACAUGCAAGUCGAGCGAACAGACGAGGAGCUUGCUCCUUUGACGUUAGCGGCGGACGGGUGAGUAACACGUGUAUACCCUCCCUAUCAUACGGGUAUAACUUCGGGAAACCGGAGCAAAUACCGUAUAAUCUCUUGAUCCGCAGUGUGCAUUAGUGAGUUACGGUUUUGCUGUCACGUCUCGCUGGAUCCCCGCGGUAUUGGGUGGUUGGUAAGUUAACGGCUUAUGAAGGGGAGGAGGCGUAACCGACCUGAGAGGGUGAUCGGCGACACGGGAGCUGAGACGCGGUCCAGGCUACUACGGUAGGCAGCAGAAGCGAACCUGACGCAGUGGUCGAAAGCCUGACGGAGCAACGCCACGUGAGUGAUGACGGCCUUCGGAGCGUAAAACUGUGUUAUUAGGGAAGAACAAAUGUGUAAGUAGCUAUGGAGGUCUUGACGGUAACUAAUCAGAAAGCCACGGCUAACUACGUG